AAUCACUGGUUCUCGUACGAUCACCGAAGUUAAGCGACGUCGAGCUUGGUCAGUAUUUAGAAGGGUGACCGCUUGUGAAUACCAGGUACAGUA